UUCCAGAAAACACGAGAUUUUUCUCCUAUUUCGGCAGUUGGACACAACUUCAUUGCUGGGAAAAGGCCAAGAAAGAAGAGAGAACUCUCACCACAACAUUUCAAAGGGAAUACAUUGCCAGAACUUGGAAUACUCUUCUGGACAAACAUUUCCUCCAAGGUAAAUAUUACCAUUGUACCAAUAAAGGGACACAUCACUAGAAUUUUUGAAUGGCAGUGGUACAGCACAAAGGUUUAAUUGUUUAGUCUCAUACAGACCUAGAGUGAUAUGAGAGAAAGAGAGAGAGGGAGAGAGAGAGAGAAGAAAGCAGUGCUGUUGGGGUAUCCUGCAGCCUCUUCUAAAUGUGUUACCAGGAGAAUGCCAUCA
rnacentral:sRNA from 1 species